AAGGACGCUGCCUUAUUCAUCACUGGAUCUAUAGUGAUUUGCUCAGUGCCUUGCACACAGGCACUGUUGGUCCGGCUCUCAGGAGCGAAAGCUUCCAAGUUGGGCUCUCCCCUUGGCCCCUUCCACCCAGGGAAGACAGCUGGGUCCUCCAGGACCAAGAAUCCCCAAAGGGGCUGCUCCCAGAGGUUGUGUUGCAGGGACUGGAGAGAGGACUUCCCAGUACAGGGGCUGGCCCUCUGAUCAGGUGGGGGUAGGUGGCAGCAGAGCAUUUGGUAGGAGGUCAGGAGCUCAUAGGAGAUGGGAUUCUGCCGAUGCCUGCUGAAUGAAUGAGGGAGGGAGACGGCAGGACCAGGGACUGGGGAAUUGGUACUAAGGUGCUGGGUACCUGCCGAGCACCCUGUCCAUACAUGAUCUCAGUUCAGCUCUCCACCUUGGAAACACAAGAAAGGAUCCCUGGCUGAAGAGGGAAACAGAGGCUGGAAACAGGUGUGGGAACCGCUGAGCAGAACACCCUCCCCCAGCGGGAAAUCCGGGACACGCAGGAGCCUCAGUGAAUCCGACCAUUGUCUCAUCUCACCAGAGGCUCCGGUAGAUUGCAAACGACCUGCUUUCUUUCUGAUCCCGGGCUGCGUUCGGACCCCUGUCGUAUAGAAAAUCCCAAGUAAGGUACCUGCCGUCGGCAGAUCUGAGCUUUCUUCUUGGACACCUAAUACCCACAGUCCUCCAGGUGGGUCCUAAGGAUCUUAGGAUCCGCAAUGGGGGUCUUGGCUCUCAGUCCCUGCCUCGCGGGGGGUGCCUCCCUCACCAGCAAUGGGGCUCCUAAGAGCCAGGGGGGAAGAGGGGCUGGCUCCGGUACAUUGCAAAUGACCUGCUUUUUUUCUGAUCCCGAGCUGCGUUCAGACCCCUGUCGGAUAGUAAAUCCCAAGUAAGGUACCUUCUGCUGGAAGAUCUGAGCUUUCUUCUUGGACACCUAAAACCCACAGUCCUCCAGAGUGAAGGAUCCAGUGAGAUUUUCCAGGUUAACGGUCAUAAUCGCCUACUGGUCCAACGUUCAGAAGUAACACAGGCACCUGGACAAUACACAGUAGAUGUGGAAGGACACGGUUGUACAUUUAUCCAGGCCACCCUUAAGUACAAUGUUCUCCUACCUAAGAAGGCAUCUGGAUUUUCU
rnacentral:lncRNA from 1 species